GAUGAACGCUGGCGGCGUGCCUAAUACAUGCAAGUCGAGCGAAUGGAUUAAGAGCUUGCUCUUAUGAAGUUAGCGGCGGACGGGUGAGUAACACGUGGGUAACCUGCCCAUAAGACUGGGAUAACUCCGGGAAACCGGGGCUAAUACCGGAUAAAAUUUUGAACCGCAUGGUUCGAAAUUGAAUGGCGGCUUCGGCUGACACUUAUGGAUGGACCCGUGUCGCAUUAGCUAGUUGGUGAGGUAACGGCUAACCAAGGCAACGAUGCGUAGCCGACCUGAGAGGGUGAUCGGCCACACUGGGACUGAGACACGGCCCAGACUCCUACGGGAGGCAGCAGUAGGGAAUCUUCCGCAAUGGACGAAAGUCUGACGGAGCAACGCCGCGUGAGUGAUGAAGGCUUUCGGGUCGUAAAACUCUGUUGUUAGGGAAGAACAAGUGCUAGUUGAAUAAGCUGGCACCUUGACGGUACCUAACCAGAAAGCCACGGCUAACUACGUGCCAGCCGCCGCAGUAA
rnacentral:rRNA from 1 species